rnacentral:rRNA from 1 species
UGACGGGUAGGCUCUCGUUGGUGACCAGCGGAGGGUCAUUACCGAGUUAUACAACUCCCAAACCCACUGUGAACCUUACCUCAGUUGCCUCGGCGGGAACGCCCCGGCCGCCUGCCCCCGCGCCGGCGCCGGACCCAGGCGCCCGCCGCAGGGACCCCAAACUCUCUUGCAUUACGCCCAGCGGGCGGAAUUUCUUCUCUGAGUUGCACAAGCAAAAACAAAUGAAUCAAAACUUUCAACAACGGAUCUCUUGGUUCUGGCAUCGAUGAAGAACGCAGCGAAAUGCGAUAAGUAAUGUGAAUUGCAGAAUUCAGUGAAUCAUCGAAUCUUUGAACGCACAUUGCGCCCGCCAGCAUUCUGGCGGGCAUGCCUGUUCGAGCGUCAUUUCAACCCUCGAGCCCCCCCGGGGGCCUCGGUGUUGGGGGACGGCACACCAGCCGCCCCCGAAAUGCAGUGGCGACCCCGCCGCAGCCUCCCCUGCGUAGUAGCACACACCUCGCACCGGAGCGCGGAGGCGGUCACGCCGUAAAACGCCCAACUUUCUUAGAGUUGACCUCGGAUCAGGUAGGAAUACCCGCUGAACUUAAGCAUAUCAAUAAGCGGAGGAAAAGAAACCAACAGGGAUUGCCCCGUAAACG